rnacentral:rRNA from 1 species
ACAGAUCGUUCAGAGUUUGAUCCUGGCUCAGGACGAACGCUGGCGGCGUGCCUAACACAUGCAAGUCGAGCGAGAAUCUCAUUAUUGAUUCCUUCGGGAUGAUUUAAUGAGAGGAAAGCGGCGGACGGGUGAGUAACGCGUGAGUAACCUGCCUUCAGAGGGGGACAACAUUCCGAAAGGGAUGCUAAUACCGCAUGACAUUGUUUUAUCGCAUGAUAGAGCAAUCAAAGAUUUUAUCGCCUGAAGAUGGACUCGCGUCUGAUUAGAUAGUUGGUGGGGUAACGGCCUACCAAGUCGACGAUCAGUAGCCGAACUGAGAGGUUGAUCGGCCACAUUGGGACUGAGACACGGCCCAG